AUUGAACGCUGGCGGCAUGCCUUACACAUGCAAGUCGAACGGCAGCACGGGGGCAACCCUGGUGGCGAGUGGCGAACGGGUGAGUAAUACAUCGGAACGUGCCCGGUAGUGGGGGAUAGCUCGGCGAAAGCCGGAUUAAUACCGCAUACGACCUACGGGUGAAAGCGGGGGAUCGCAAGACCUCGCGCUAUCGGAGCGGCCGAUGUCAGAUUAGGUUGUUGGUGGGGUAAAGGUCUACCAAGCCGACGAUCUGUAGCUGGUCUGAGAGGACGACCAGCCACACUGGGACUGAGACACGGCCCAGACUCCUACGGGAGGCAGCAGUGGGGAAUUUUGGACAAUGGGCGCAAGCCUGAUCCAGCCAUGCCGCGUGCGGGAAGAAGGCCU
rnacentral:rRNA from 1 species